CUCCGGGACAGAGCUUCAUUUCUCCCGAGUUAUUAAAAGCUUUUGAUAUCAAUCCUUCUUGAAGCUCAGAAUACUCAUGCAACUGAUCAUCAAAAUACUGAGAGGAAUGUCUACAAAUAUGUUUGGAAGAUGUAGCCUUGGGUGACCUUCACCUUGACACUGCAUAUGAGCCUGGACCACAACUGAAAUAACUCAGGCUGCAGCCCCAUGUCAAUGAGAUGAGUUAGUAGAUCAGCCACAACCAUGAGACCUACAUCAACAUCUGGCAUCAACCUCCUACCUUACCAGCUACUGUUUCACAUCCACCUUCCAAUUCUCACAAAUUUCUCUUGUGGCCAGCCAAGCCAAGAACCAUAUAGAGAAGCAUACAGAGAAAGCCUUCAGAAGAAAAGCAGGACAUUCCAGCAAGCGUCCUCACAGAGAUGAUCCAGAGGUUGCACAGACCUUUUUCUCCACACCCCAUCGUCCCUGAUCCCAGUCACAUGGGCACCAAAUUGAAGAGAAGCCUGACAACCAUGGACUGUCGCUGGUGCCCACUGGUAACACUCAGGGCGUCCCAUCACCAUGAGGACGAAGAGAGAAGGAUCACCACAAUUACGUUCACAUAAAUGUUUGCUUAUUUUUACACACUUUCCCCAAGGAUCUAAUGUAAGGAAUUCCUUGUAACAUGUUACUAUCCUGUUUAAUUCCUUAUGUCUGUCUAACUGGCUUUUCACCAAGCGCAUGCCUCUCUCAUUGAU